rnacentral:misc_RNA from 1 species
AGCAGCCGCGGUAAUUCCAGCUCCAAUAGCGUAUAUUAAAGUUGUUGCAGUUAAAAAGCUCGUAGUUGAAUUUCGGGAUUGGCGCAUCGGUCGUGCCUCACGGGGUAUGAACUGGUGCAGUCAAUUUCUCACCUUCUGGAGAACCGCGAUGUCCUUAAUUGGAUGCCGCGGGGAACCAGGACCUUUACUUUGAAAAAAAUUAGAGUGUUUAAAGCAGGCAUUUUUGCUUGAAUACAUUAGCAUGGAAUAAUAAAAUAGGACGGCAUGGUUCUAUUUUGUUGGUUUCUAGGACCACCGUAAUGAUUAAUAGGGAUAGUUGGGGGCAUUAGUAUUCAAUUGUCAGAGGUGAAAUUCUUGGAUUUAUUGAAGACUAACUACUGCGAAAGCAUUUGCCAAGGAUGUUUUCAUUAAUCAAGAACGAAAGUUAGGGGAUCGAAGACGAUCAGAUACCGUCGUAGUCUUAACCAUAAACUAUGCCGACUAGGAAUCAGACGAUGUUAAUUUUUUAAUGACUCGUUUG